AUUGAACGCUGGCGGCAUGCUUUACACAUGCAAGUCGAACGGCAGCGCGGGCUUCGGCCUGGCGGCGAGUGGCGAACGGGUGAGUAAUGCAUCGGAACGUGCCCAGUAGUGGGGGAUAGCCCGGCGAAAGCCGGAUUAAUACCGCAUACGACCUGAGGGUGAAAGCGGGGGACCGAAAGGCCUCGCGCUAUUGGAGCGGCCGAUGUCGGAUUAGCUAGUUGGUGGGGUAAAGGCUUACCAAGGCGACGAUCCGUAGCUGGUCUGAGAGGACGACCAGCCACACUGGGACUGAGACACGGCCCAGACUCCUACGGGAGGCAGCAGUGGGGAAUUUUGGACAAUGGGGGCAACCCUGAUCCAGCCAUGCCGCGUGCGGGAAGAAGGCCUGCGGGUUGUAAACCGCUUUUGUUCGGGAAGAAAUCCUCUGGGCUAAUACCCCGGGGGGAGGACGGUACCGGAAGAAUAAGCACCGGCUAACUACGU
rnacentral:rRNA from 1 species